rnacentral:rRNA from 1 species
GAUGAACGCUGGCGGCGUGCCUAAUACAUGCAAGUCGAGCGAACAGACGAGGAGCUUGCUCCUCUGACGUUAGCGGCGGACGGGUGAGUAACACGUGGAUAACCUACCUAUAAGACUGGGAUAACUUCGGGAAACCGGAGCUAAUACCGGAUAAUAUAUUGAACCGCAUGGUUCAAUAGUGAAAGACGGUUUUGCUGUCACUUAUAGAUGGAUCCGCGCCGCAUUAGCUAGUUGGUAAGGUAACGGCUUACCAAGGCAACGAUGCGUAGCCGACCUGAGAGGGUGACCGGCCACACUGGAACUGAGACACGGUCCAGACUCCUACGGGAGGCAGCAGUAGGGAAUCUUCCGCAAUGGGCGAAAGCCUGACGGAGCAACGCCGCGUGAGUGAUGAAGGUCUUCGGAUCGUAAAACUCUGUUAUUAGGGAAGAACAAAUGUGUAAGUAACUAUGCAUGUCUUGACGGUACCUAAUCAGAAAGCCACGGCUAACUACGUG